UACGGGAGGGGCUAGCGUUGUUCGGAAUUACUGGGCGUAAAGAGCGCGUAGGCGGCUUACCAAGUUGGGGGUGAAAUCCCGGAGCUCAACUCCGGAACUGCCUUCAAAACUGGUAGGCUCGAGUCCGGAAGAGGGGCGUGGAAUUCCCAGUGUAGAGGUGAAAUUCGUAGAUAUUGGGAAGAUCACCGGUGGCGAAGGCGGCGCCCUGGUCCGGUACUGACGCUGAGGCGCGAAAGCGUGGGGAGCAAACAGU
rnacentral:rRNA from 1 species